rnacentral:rRNA from 1 species
AUUGAACGCUGGCGGCAUGCUUUACACAUGCAAGUCGAACGGUAACAGGCCGCAAGGUGCUGACGAGUGGCGAACGGGUGAGUAAUGCAUCGGAACGUGCCCAGUCGUGGGGGAUAACGCAGCGAAAGCUGUGCUAAUACCGCAUACGAUCUAUGGAUGAAAGCGGGGGACCGUAAGGCCUCGCGCGAUUGGAGCGGCCGAUGUCAGAUUAGGUAGUUGGUGGGGUAAAGGCCUACCAAGCCGACGAUCUGUAGCUGGUCUGAGAGGACGACCAGCCACACUGGGACUGAGACACGGCCCAGACUCCUACGGGAGGCAGCAGUGGGGAAUUUUGGACAAUGGGCGCAAGCCUGAUCCAGCAAUGCCGCGUGCAGGAAGAAGGCCUUCGGGUUGUAAACUGCUUUUGUACGGAACGAAACGGUCUGGGUUAAUACCCUGGGCUAAUGACGGUACCGUAAGAAUAAGCACCGGCUAACUACGUGCCAGCAGCCGCCGUAACAC